UACAACCAUAUCACAUUGAGACAUUGGUUCCCGUACAAUCACUGAAGUUAAGCAAUGUUGAGCCUGGGUAGUACCUAGAUGAGUGACUGCUUGGGAAAACCAGAUGCUGUAAG